rnacentral:rRNA from 1 species
AGAAUCAACGCUGGCGGCGUGCCUAACACAUGCAAGUCGAACGAGAAAGUGGAGCAAUCCAUGAGUAAAGUGGCGCACGGGUGAGUAACACGUGACUAACCUACCCUUGAGUGGGGAAUAACUGAGGGAAACCUUCGCUAAUACCGCAUAACACCUACGGGUCAAAGGAGCAAUUCGCUUAAGGAGGGGUCGCGGCAGAUUAGCUAGUUGGCGGGGUAAUGGCCCACCAAGGCAGUGAUCUGUA